rnacentral:rRNA from 1 species
GACACAGGUGCUGCAUGGUCUGUCGUCAGCUCGUGUCGUGAGAUGUUGGGUUAAGUCCCGCAACGAGCGCAACCCCUGCAUUCAGUUCGCCUAUCGGGUAAUGCCGGGCACUCUGGAAGGACUGCCAUCGACAAGAUGGAGGAAGGUGGGGAGUGACGUCAAGUCAUCAUGGCCCUUAUGUCCAGGGCGACACACGUGCUACAAUGGCCGGCACAACGGGAAGCGAGUUCGCGAGGACGAGCGGAUCCCUUAAAGACCGGUCGCAGUUCGGAUUGAAGUCUGCAACUCGACUUCAUGAAGCUGGAAUCGCUAGUAAUCGUGGAUCAGCCAAGCCGCGGUGAAUACGUUCCCGGGCCUU